UUUUAUUCUGAGGAGAAUGCUCUCUAACAAAAGCUUGCGGAACAACCGGUGCAAGCGCGUUAAUUUGAAAAAGACCGCUACGAAAGCCCGUCAAUUUGAAAAGACCGCUACUAAAACCGCGGGAACCUCUGCGCAUGCGCUUUGCGUCUGAUGCUAGAUGAUGAUUGAUGAUGAAAGUUCGUUGGCGUUUUUGUUCGUUUGCUUUGCUUGUGUUUUCGUUAGAUCGUUGGGCAUGGAGUUGGUUUUCGUUCUCGAACGUUUUUGAACGUUCCCCUCUAUUUUUGGAAAAUGUGGUGGCGUGCACGACUAUAAUGGAUAAAGAAGUCGAAUCCUACAGUGGCCUAGGCCAAGAGACUGUAGAACACAAGAAUAUGCAAAUAAUUGAACAGUAUGCUUCAUUCCUCACCUCCUCUGAUGAAAAGUACCGCAAAAUUCAUGAGAAAGCUUUCAAUCUGGAAAUCAAAAGAUAUGGGAACGAUUUCAUACAGCAAAUUCUAACGGACAAUGAUCACCUCAGGAAGUCCAGAGAAAAGUUGCUGGAAAUUUGCAGACCUCUUGCCCAGCAAAAUAUGGAGUAUUCAAAACAACUACAAGACUUGAAGAGGCAGUGCGAAAACGCGAAUCAAAUGUGUACAGCAUGGCAGCAUGCCAAAGAUCAGAUGUAUCUUCUUUACAAGGACACUCAAAAAGAGUUGGAAGAAAAGUCGCAGAAGUUGGAUCUGGUUGAAAAAAGCUUAUCUCAGUUGAAAAGAUUGAAGGGACGCAGGAAAAGCGUAAAAACAAAAUCAACGAAAACAAAUGAAGGUUCCUCCGAUGAUCUUCCAAAUAAGGACUCUAAUCCUCAGCCAGAAUCUAAGUCAGAUCUAUCAGAACAUGAGCCUAGAACAUUACGCAAUAACUCUAAACGGAUUGGGUAUGCUGAAUCGAGUGACAAUGAUGCCACUUCAGAUGAGGAGCUGGAUUUGUGUGAAGUCAUAAGUGCCUGGAAUAUUAAAAAACCGGAUGAGGCCAUACCUACGGUUCCAAUCUCCAGUCCCAGUAAGAAACCCUCCAGCCGUGAAAAGAAACCAGUAACCUCCAACUCCUCUGCAUUAGGUCCACCAACACUUGGAAAAAAUCAAGCAAUCAAAAAAAUGAAAAAAACUAGAAGGAAAAAGGUCUCAUCCGUAAAAGAGGAGGAGUCACUGCCAGAGUCAAAUCUACCAUUAGAUUGUAAUGAAAAAUCCAACUCUUGUGAUGGCUCUCUAUGUGCAGAAGAUGUGAAUUUUGAGGCGGAUAUGGAUUUAAAUUGUGAUUAUAGUAUUGCAAGUCCAGAACUGUCACCAACAAAAACUGAUUCACCCAAAAGCAAAUUCAGUACACCUUUCAUCACAUCCGCAAUUUCACCUGAGCCAAGCCCUGAAAUUAAGUUACCAUUUAAACUACCUAAUCCAAGCCCUUCUAAACAAAUAAAGGAAAAAACGUCAUCAACAAAGAAAGUAUCCUCACCACCCCCAGUUCAACGAAAUCUACGACCCAGAAAGUCUAGAGUCACAACCAAGAACAGCACUUCGCCAGAAAAAGUGGAAAACCAAGUCAUUGACACAAAGUUAUCAUCAGAACUUGCCAAAAAAACUUCCAAUUCGAAAGUUUACCCUGAGUAUGAAACGAUUUUCGAUGACCUGUAUGUCUCGGAUUCAGAUUCAUCAGUCAUACAUAAUUCUGUGGCUUUGUGUCAAGAACCCUCAGACUCACCCACAAUGUCAACCAAGGAAUCUGAUGUAGUCUCUGUUGGCAAAUCAAGAGAUGAUGAGAGAAGUUCUGUGUGUCUAUUGCUCACAAGCACCAGUAGAAUGUCAGAUUGCUGUGAUUCAUCUGACAUCAUAAAUUCAAGUGAUUCAGAAAAUGAUCAUGACGUUUGCCCUGAAAAUGAUGUCUCAACUGCGCCCAAGAGUUUUGAGUCUCCAAAUUCAUCGUCCCUUGAUGUAAAUUUGGUGAGAACGCUUGAGACGAGGGUAAAAUCAAGUGAAGAAAUAAGUCCUACCACUCAUACUAGUACCUUAAGUGACUCCUCUGACUUAAUGGAUUCUUCUGAGAAGUUUGUGUCAAAUGCCACCAAUAGCUCAACUUCUAGCAAUGAAGUCCUGAAGCAUCCUGAAUUACCCACAGAAGUUACUCCAGCUCCAACACACCCAUUCAGCAAAAGUAGAACACUCAGUGAAUCCAGUUGUGAAACGGACCAGAUUCAAUCUGAGAAGAUCAUGCUGAAUCUUGUCAAUAGUUCAAACCCUAGUAUCCUACAGCAUCCUUCAUCCUGUACAGAAGUCAGCUUUGCUCUGAUGCGCCCACCCAGCAGUAGCCGAACUUUCAGUGAAUCCAGUUGCGAAACGGAUGAUUCCAAUAAUAAAUUGAAAACCAAAAUUGCUGUUCAUAGAAAAGUAAGAAAAUGCCGGAAGGUAGCAACCCAAAAAGAUACGCAAGAAAAAGAUGAGCCAGUAAGUCCCUCAACAGACAAAUCUGAAAAAUUGCCACCGUUAGAAGUUCCUGCCAAUCUGUCAACAACUCCAGAAAGUGUUGAUGAGUUGAUAGAAUCAAAAUCAGUGUUUGAUCCUCCAGAAGUAUCAAGCAUCAGUGAUUCGGACUCCCCUGAAAAUAACCAAGCCGGAACCGAAGGCAUCUCUACCCCGGAAAGUGAUGAAAAUCAAACUGGAGAUGAUCAUGAAGUUGAGAAAAACAUAGAAGAAGUUUUACACUUUGGUCAUGAGUCCAUGUUGAAGGAAGGAAAUGUCAUAACACCUGAAUCCAGUUGUGAAAAUAGUGAAACACCAAUCCAAAGCUCCGAUGAAACUAAGUCAACGGAGUCUGAACAAGUGAAUCCUGAAAAACAGCACUGUAAAGACAGCGUAGUGGAGGCUCACCUUCCACCAGUAGCCGUUGAGAAUUUUACAUCUGAACUUCAAUCGGAGGAAUCAGAAAAAGAAGAAAUUACAGAGACUUGCGAAAGCUCAAAUGGAAAUGCCAUCUUAAACGAAGCAUCUGAUGAACCUUUGGAACAAGCUAAGUCACCAGAGCCUGUCUUUGGUGGGGCUAUUGACGCCACUAACUCUUGUAAGAAUGACUUUCCCCAACCAUUCUUGGGAGACAUCCAUUUUGGAGCGCAAGGUAUGAGUGCCGCACCUACGCCACCAGACGAUACUGAAUUGAGUUUUAUCGGCUCUCCUGAUAUUGUUACUCCACCUGUGUCCCCCUUACGCAACUAUACUAUACAAGUGUCACCACCUCUGUCACCCAUAACUGGAGACAGUCCUCUUGUUCCUGCCUCUACUCCAUCGCAGACAAAAAAAAAUUCGACACAAAAACCUUUCAAUGUGAAAAGGAUACAUAUGUUUUCUCCACGUCCAGAUGAUAUGAGUGACUGUGACGAUAUACUCAUCAUGGAUUUAGAUAUCAGUAAUGAAGAUUCAAUUGAGGCAAGUUCUGUACGACUGGAUGCUGGCACAGAAAUUCGGGAAGCAGAUGAACUCAUGGAUGAUAUAAAUUCAGAUGAAGAUGAUAUCUUGAAUCUUGUCCAUGAAGAAUUCAUCUGUCGUAAACUACUAUCACCCCUACCUUCGAAAGAGCCACCAUACAAAACUAGUCCUGUUAAGCCGACCAAGAAACGUCUGAAUCUAAUGAAGCUCUGGAAUUAA
rnacentral:lncRNA from 1 species